rnacentral:rRNA from 1 species
UACGUAGGGUGCAAGCGUUGUCCGGAAUUAUUGGGCGUAAAGAGCUCGUAGGCGGCUUGUCACGUCGACUGUGAAAACCCGGGGCUCAACUCCGGGCCUGCAGUCGAUACGGGCUGGCUUGAGUGCGGUAGGGGAGAUUGGAAUUCCUGGUGUAGCGGUGGAAUGCGCAGAUAUCAGGAGGAACACCGAUGGCGAAGGCAGAUCUCUGGGCCGUAACUGACGCUGAGGAGCGAAAGCAUGGGGAGCGAACAGG